AGAAUCAACGCUGGCGGCGUGCCUAACACAUGCAAGUCGAUCGAGAAAGUGGAGCAAUCCAUGAGUAAAGAGGCGCACGGGUGAGUAACACGUGACUAACCUACCCUUGAGUGGGGGAUAACCUAGGGAAACCUGGGCUAAUACCGCAUAAUACCUACGGGUCAAAGGAGCAAUUCGCUUUAGGAGGGGGUCGCGGCAGAUUAGUUAGUUGGCGGGGUAAUGGCCCACCAAGACAGUGAUCUGUA
rnacentral:rRNA from 1 species